rnacentral:snoRNA from 1 species
UACCCAUCGCUAAGUCAAGACUCCUUUCUGCAUCGCCAUGCAAAUAUUCUCCAUGGAAGGUUGUCUGUUACAGCUUUGGAACAUCAAUCAAGCUCGCUCAACCUGCAAAGGUAGAGAGACUAAGUCGUCGUCUUGAUGGCAACAGUCGCUGAGCUAUGAGUGCUUCGUUUUGAGUUGAAGUCUGCUCCUUCUUCGUGAAGUUUCUUUCAUAGCAGAUUUCUUAGUUAUGUUUCACACAUCA